rnacentral:rRNA from 1 species
AACGUAGGGGACAAGCGUUAUCCGGAUUUACUGGGCGUAAAGCGCCCGUAGGCGGCCUGACAAGUUGGACGUGAAAGCUCCUGGCUUAACUGGGAGAGGCCGUUCAAAACUGUCAAGCUAGAGUCUGGAAGAGGAGAGCGGAAUUCCCGGUGUAGUGGUGGAAUGCGUAGAGAUCGGGAGGAACACCAGUGGCGAAAGCGGCUCUCUGGGCCAAAACUGACGCUGAGGGGCGAAAGCGUGGGGAGCGAACGGG